rnacentral:lncRNA from 1 species
UGGGCCUAAAAAAUCUUAAGGAUUCAGUUACUUCUCUCUCUGAGGUAGUCCUACAAAACAGAGGGGACUAGACCUCCUUUUCUUACAACAAGGAGGAUUAUGUGCUGCCCUUAAAGAAGAAUGCUGUUUUUAUACAGACAAAACGGGGUUAGUAGAAGACAGCUUACAAAAGGUCAGAGAAAGACUUGAAAAAAGAAGGAGAGAGAGAGAGGCACAAAAAGGGUGGUUCGAGUCUUGGUAUUCCCAGUCACCAUGGAUGACCACAUUGUUCUCAGCCCUGGCUGUACCUGUGCUUUUUGUCUGCCUAGCUCUAAUUUUUGGUCCCUGUAUAAUUAACAAAGGCAUAGCAUUUAUCCAAAACCGGAUAGACGCGGUAAAACUCAUGAUCGUACAGAGACAAAACCAACCUAUAGUUCAAUUUGAGACAGACCUGAGGGACACUGGGGUUUAAAUUCUAAGAUUAGAAUUAUUUAGUAGAAGAAGAAGGGAA